rnacentral:lncRNA from 1 species
CUGUCCCUGAACCUUCCGCUUUGGUCAGGCUGGUCUCCCACGACCCCCACGUCCACAUUGCUGCCUUUGUCUCCACACCGUGGCUUUGCUGUUUCCUCCCCUGAAAAUGCUGUUGGCCUCCUCUUGACUUAUCCCAGUUCUACCAGGCCUGAAGGCUCCCCUCCGCUGCCGCUUUGAACAGCAGGGAAGUCUCUGCUUCCCAACCUCACAGAGCAGGCCCUCUCCCCCGGAGCUUCAUCGCAGACGUGCCGAGGGGUUACCUCUACAAUGCACAGUUGCCUUCUCACGCCCUGUUUUCUUCCCGGUUGCCCUCCUUGAGUCCUUUGGAUGCAGUGGAAGCUAGGCAGGCAAUUUCCUUAUCUAUAAAAUGCGGACGCUUCGUAACCCCUUGCAGGUUUUUAUGAAGAUUAGAGAUUACCUGUGCAUGUGCCUAACAGAUCUUAGAACAUAGUAAGUGUUCAAUGAAACGCACAGCAUGUUAUUUCUAAUGCUGCUGCUCUUCUCUGCUCCUCCUCCUGGCUCUGCUUCCUUUUCUCUUUUUAGAAAAUGAGCAUACAGGUGGAAACCCAAGAUUUAAAACACAUUUCUGUUAGCUGUAGCUUCUUUUCUUAUUCUUUCAUGGAGGGGUAAUGAUGGUGUGAGGAGGCAGAGAUGGAAGACUUCAGCGAGCUAAGCCCUCGGGUGAGACCUGGCCGUCGCUGACAGUGCCAUCCGCCUCCACGCUCUCGCCUCGCUAAUCCCCCAGGUGUGUGGUGGAAGCCAUUUAUAAGCCCCUCUCUCCUCGUUUCUCCUCCAUUUUUUAAAAUCACUUCUGCAUGAAACUAAUUCAUCAACACUCUACCAGCUGCUGGGGUGAAGGAAAUGGGAAACGUAAUCUUUUCAGGGAAGGUGAAAUAGAGGUGAAUUAAUUUAAGAACACCUAAACUCAACUUUACCCACGUCUUAGGUCCAUGCCAGAUUUAAAAGACAAUCCUCCCCAAUUUGUAGUCUACAGACCUCCAGCACCACAAUCUUCUGGGGUUCUUAGGUGCUGGCAGUAAGCCUAGCAUGAGAUAAGACCUAGGGGUGCUGAAAAGGGAGGAACAGAUGCCACACGUCAACCCCCGUCAUAGAGGUGGUUUUUUAUUGCAGGCAGUCACCAAUUCUUUUUGG